ACAGAUGUAACUGAGGCACUGAAUAAUCAACAUAUCGGAGCCAAUUCCCAGGACGGCAAGAGGGGGAACCGGCAGAGAUGACUGACCCUGGAGGACAAGAGCAUUCUUCUGACAAGUUUUAGCAUGGACUAUCCUCAGGAAAAUGAGAUCCAGGAAGAGUGACGCCCUCCUCGAACUGAAAGAUACUCAGGCUGAUGGAGUCAGGGACGAAGUGGCUUAUCAACAACACAGGAUGUCUGCAGGGAACAGAACUUAUUCAGACAUGGCCCAGAUUGUCUGCCCGUGGGGACUGAGGGACCUCUGAGGGUUACAUCAGGAAGGAAGGAGAGGCUGUUUCUACAGGUGCCACAGAAAAAUCGAUGCUGAGCCUCGGAUUAUUGGAUCCCAUAGAACCGUGGAGACUUGGCAGUGAAAUUCUUCCAAAGGCAGAGGUGUUCCUGGUUUGGGAAGUAUAAAUCCCGUGGGAAGUCAACUGGAGGACAUUUUACGCGUCACUCAUCCUAUUAUGAGCCUGCUGCUCCUCCGUCUCUUGACAAGGCCACCAACUAGAAGGGCACAGAAUUGUUCAUAAAAAAGCUGAAUGUGAACGUCUUUGGAUUCCCAUUUAAUGAGGUAAGAUUUUAUCAUGUGCUAUGAAAGGGCAUUCCCUGUCCAUCCUGCCUCAUGUGUGUUGUCUGAACUGUGACUCCUUUGAAAUGCUUAGAGUUAGUCUAUUGGAUCAUUAUAUCUGUAUAUAAAUCAAAUUAUCAUCAUUCCUUUCCACCUUCUUUAGCUUGUAUAACUCAGAAUGUAAUUCGAAGUAUAAACAAAAAGUGUAAAUGGUAUACAUUAUAGUGCUUUAUGGCAAAGGACAUAUUACUCUUUGCUGACGUUUAAUGACUGGUGUAUGAGUUCUUCAAAGUGAGCAAACCAAAAGCAAUGGCAUCCUUUCCAAUGCUCCGAGGUUAAAGCUGGAAAUAGAGAGUUUGUGAUGAGUGAUAACUGCGUGUAACACUGUCUCAAUAAUAGGGUGUCUUAAUGAGAUGACUGAAGAGUACAACCGCCAAGGCUGAGAUGAUGCAAAGGCUAGGUGUGGGUACAGUUCCUGGUGCCUGUGCACACCAUUCAGUAUGUGCCAGUAUCUAGCUCUCUUCAUUUGGCAUGCCAGUUGUAUAGACCAAAAUGAAAACAUUUUUUUUCCAACCUAUCAAGAACACUAAAUUGGAACCUCUCAUAAGAUACUGAAUAUUUGCUAUUUAUAUGUAACCUGUAUGAUGCAGCCAUUUUCAUUCUAGAUUAAGCAAGACCGAUAGGGUUUUCAAGGUGCAUAUUUCCUAGGUGAUUUGGGGAGAAGUGGCAUUUCAUUGAGGCAUUCUUAUCUUUUGUGUCUAAGCUGUCUGAGAUGCCAACACCGCAGAGCACGAUAUCUUUGAGUUGGAAACAUGUCAUUUGCUUGCGUCUCGUCAUCCUUUGGGGUUUUUCUAGACUCCCUGCCUCUUCUGUUUCUCGUUGAUGCUUCCAUUGUAUUCCAGUUGGCAGCUAAAGGACAGGAGCAGCAAUAAGGCUUCCUGGCUACAUUUUCAUGGUGCCACCAACUGCGAGUUAAGCUGACAAACAUUUUGAGAGCUCGGCCCAUUUCAUUCCCAGCAGGAUGGCAGGAGUUAACUAAAACAGAAUAAACUAAAAAUUGUGCCUUCAUUGCACAUUUACACUGAUUAUCAGCACUGAAAAUGGCUAAGUUCUGCUUAUCAAGGUUAUGCUUCACAUCACCCACCAGGGAGGAUCAUCUCUCAUGAAAACUUUCAAAUUUGAUUUUGAAAAUUUAUUCAGAAAAAUUUAAGCCACGCUCUUUCCCAACACAGGAAAUAAUAUGCUCCAGAGAAUCCUCUAAUUCACCGAAAAUGGACUUGGAUAACAUUUGGGUUCUCAUACUACCACAGUCCUCUUGAGAAGGACAGCCAGGCUUGGGUGGCAGUGGUGGGGAAGGUUCCUUUCUGUCAAGGGAGCUGAUGCCUUAAAGAAGCUAUCUCCAGAUAAAGGGAGAUCUAAGGAAGGAAGCCAACGAAAGACACCAUGUACCAGAAAGCCAAGCAGGAUUUUGACAUUUAUAACCAUAAUCUCUAUAAACAAGAUGAAUUAUGGCUGGGGAUUCAGUUAGUAAAUCAACGAAAAUAAAUCCUGUGCAUAAUUCAAAGAUAACCCAAAUAAGAACAGAAAGUUGUGUGUCAUAGUCACUGGCAUCUAUCCGGUGCUUCUGAACCAUGAACCACAUGACCUGAUUAAAGAGGUUGCUGUGAGUGUGUUGUACUCUUCGUGAACUAAAUUCCAUGAUGACAGAAAACAAACCUGAAAACAAGAGUUAUUUCACAACUCUAGAGCUCCACAGAGUCGGCUGCAAUUGGUUGAGUUGAGGUGAAUUUUCAGUGGACCUGGAUCAGUGUAGAAGGGCAGGAACGUUGGCUCAGCACAGCCCCAGGCUGUGCAGCAUUCAAUGUGACUUGGGACUGGCCUUCCUGGCUCUGCCUUGCCGGUGAAACAUGGAUUGGAAGCUUUGAAUGUUGGAAGAAAUAAACAAGUCUUGGUUGGAGUCCCAGUUUCAAUAACCACAUAUUUUCAAACCUAGACAAAUAUUCUGGUCUCAUCUCCUCAUUUGGAUUACUUCAAUCCUCGGAGAGAACGGAAUAGGACUAUGUAUUUCUUUGGAUGUUCAACACAGUGUUUAACUAAUGGGUGCUAUUUGAAAUAUAUUAUCGUCUAUUAUCAUUGCUAUUCUAAUAAGGAUGAUACUUGCUAUAAAUAUUAUUGAGAAAAAAAACUUGGAAGUGUUCUUGAGCAACAUAAACAGUACAAAAUGACAGAUAUUAAACACCGUUCUUUUUUGCACGUAAAACUAUACAAAUAAAAAUAUAGAAAAGUUUGC
ensembl:lincRNA Rmst rhabdomyosarcoma 2 associated transcript (non-coding RNA)